UUUUUUUCUCUCUGUUUGUUAUGAUUUAACAAAUAUGGCUGCUCAUUAAAUGCCGUGUUUUGAAGCCGAGUUUUACCGAUUGUCACCUUAUAGUAAACAAAUCACAAAAAGCAUGGGUAAUGAGCACGUGUUUAACAUGUAUAUUCAGAUAUUUGUUUAUUUCAAUAACAGAUCCAUGCGUAUUGUGGUCACCGGAUUUUUACGAGGAGGGUUACGCUCGUAUCACUAUGCAUACGGAAAAUAUGUCGGCGAAUUGCUUCCUGGAAGCAAGCAAUUAAAAAUAAGUAAACUUCUUCUAAAUGUGGACAAAUUAAAGAAUUUUCAUCAGAAA
rnacentral:lncRNA from 1 species